rnacentral:rRNA from 1 species
AGUGAACGCUGGCGGUAGGCCUAACACAUGCGAGUUGAACGGCAGCACAGUAAGAGCUUGCUCUUACGGGUGGCGAGUGGCGGACGGGUGAGGAAUACAUCGGAAUCUACUUUUUCGUGGGGGAUAACGUAGGGAAACUUACGCUAAUACCGCAUACGACCUACGGGUGAAAGCAGGGGAUCUUCGGACCUUGCGCGAUUGAAUGAGCCGAUGUCGGAUUAGCUAGUUGGCGGGGUAAAGGCCCACCAAGGCGACGAUCCGUAGCUGGUCUGAGAGGAUGAUCAGCCACACUGGAACUGAGACACGGUCCAGACUCCUACGGGAGGCAGCAGUGGGGAAUAUUGGACAAUGGGCGCAAGCCUGAUCCAGCCAUACCGCGUGGGUGAAGAAGGCCUUCGGGUUGUAAAGCCCUUUUGUUGGGAAAGAAAAGCAGCAGGUUAAUACCCCGCUGUUCUGACGGUACCCAAAGAAUAAGCACCGGCUAACUUCGUG